GGCCGAGUAUGCAGCAGUUUCAAUCUUCCCGAUAUGAAAAUGAGACCGUUUGCAGCAGAAAACCGAAAAAACAGAAGUAUCUUUCGAAGAAGUUUAAGAAGCAUCCGAGUUAUAUGAAAAUUUAGGAUUUGGAAUACAUUAUUCAUCGACGGUGACAUGUGCCUUUGGUAUAGCUCGAAUUUAAAAGAAGGAGAAAAACGAAAAUACACGUCUACCUUAUGCGUGUGAUGGAGCACAUAUUGAGUUACUGUAGUAACGAUCUGCAAUAUUUUAUUAUUGAGGAUUAUCAAUGUUUCCAUAUAUUUUUGCCGACCUUUUGAAGAUAUUA